AGAAACUUAACAUAUGGCUCUAACUAUUACUAUCAACAAAAUAACUCACUUACUGACUUUGAAUUACAUAUAUUACCUUCAAUGACCUAUAACUCCUUUAUCCAAACUUAGAAUUUAUCAAAUAAUAUGUGUAAAGUAUAGUCAAAGAAUGGACCUCUCCAAUUCUAAUUGCCUAUCUUUCAUUGCUCUUUGUACACAUAUGUUAAGCUUCAAAGAAUGAUACUUAGUACGAAUUUGACACCUUAACUUUGAAUACCUAUAUUUCCUUCACAAAAACUCAAAAUCAUACAAUAUCUUCACCCAAAUUAUAUUCAAAAUCCUGAACUUACUGACCUUAGUCUCAAAAUCUCGAAUGAAUUUAAAAGAAAAAUCCUAAUCCUUAAUAAGGCCUCGGACAGCCUCCUUGAAGUCCAUUGGACAUGGCCUUCGACCAAUAAGAACAAAGAUCUCUAUUCCUUGCCUUCAUCCAACCACGCCUUGUUUUCAUCCCUCUCAAUAAGCCUCCUACUAAUAAAAAAUUUCUUCUUUAGACUCUAAUCUCCUCUCAA
rnacentral:lncRNA from 1 species